rnacentral:rRNA from 1 species
ACAGCAGUCGCCGCGGUAAUACGUAGGUGGCAAGCGUUGUCCGGAAUUAUUGGGCGUAAAGGGCUCGCAGGCGGUUUCUUAAGUCUGGUGUGAAAGCCCCCGGCUCAACCGGGGAGGGUCAUUGGAAACUGGGAAACUUGAGUGCAGAAGAGGAGAGUGGAAUUCCACGUGUAGCGGUGAAAUGCGUAGAGAUGUGGAGGAACACCAGUGGCGAAGGCGACUCUCUGGUCUGUAACUGACGCUGAGAGACGAAAGCUAGGGGAGCAAAUGGGAUUAGAUACCCGAGUAGUCCCUGUCUCUUAUAA